rnacentral:lncRNA from 1 species
AAAAAGGCACCAAGAAGGGAGAAAACCCGAAGCCCAGGCGACAGGAACAAAAUCAGCGAGUUCCAAAUCAACGUUGGUCGCCCAGGCGACGGACCUGACACCCGGGCGACAGACGCCCGAAGCUUAGGCAACCAAAACAGGCGCUCAAGCCUCACAUGAGCCUCAAUUCACGCUUGGGCGAGCUCCCUGCGACGCUUGAGCGUGAUUUCACGUGGAUCGAGCCCUGAUUCUACUCUGAUUUGAUUCUUUUGGACCGGGCCGCACUUUGAGACGCAUUUGGCACUAUUUAAAGGACCCUGGGGCUCUAGGUUUUGCAUCCCUGGCAUAAGAGAGCAUAGCAAUACACUUCUAGCCAACUCUUAGUCUUUUCAUUUUGUCUUUUCUUCCAUUAUUCAUAGAGAUCCCCC